rnacentral:rRNA from 1 species
AUGUACAACGACCAAGGCGGCGCGGGCGCCCAUGUCGCGGACUACUGCCAGGACAGGCUGCACGCUGUGCUCGCCCAGGAGGUGUGCGCCGCAGAGGACCGCGUCGGCGCCUUCGACGACCUCUCCAAGAAGCAGUGGGGGAACACGUUCAUUGGCUGCUUCUACCGUGUCGAGGUCACGGUGGUGCGCUGUUCCGUCGCCGUUUUCGAUGUCCUCGCCAUCGCCGUGGGCACACGAGUCGGCAAUCUUGACCUCGAGUUGGGCCUACCUGCCAACGACUCGAGCUCGCGACUUCCCAGGUCGACGGCGCCCCGCUGUUCCUGCCACGUCGCCACAGGCUCGGCGUCACCGUCGCCGAGGCUGUCCUCGCCUUGUCGUCCGUGGCCAUCGGAGACCUUCACCCUUCGCCCAGCGUCGUCGUCCCGGAGAGGUGCCGCUUCGGCUAGGCUAGAGUCGAGGGCUAACGCGAGGAGGCGCCUCUGA